UACGUAGGGUGCAAGCGUUGUCCGGAAUUAUUGGGCGUAAAGAGCUCGUAGGCGGUUUGUCGCGUCUGCUGUGAAAACUCGGGGCUUAACCCCGGGCCUGCAGUGGGUACGGGCAGACUAGAGUGCGGUAGGGGAGACUGGAAUUCCUGGUGUAGCGGUGAAAUGCGCAGAUAUCAGGAGGAACACCGGUGGCGAAGGCGGCUCACUGGACCGGUACUGACGCUGAUGCGCGAAAGCGUGGGGAGCAAACGGG
rnacentral:rRNA from 1 species